CGAAAAACAGAUCCUGCCAAAUGAAGAAGGGCAUUUCAGAGUUGGAGCAAAUAUUCUACAUGGGUUUUUUUUAAAGCUGAAUUUCAAGAUGUUUCUGGAUCACAUCUCCCAUCAUUCCUCAGCAUCAAGCCUUCAAAGCCUCUGUAGCAAGUUUUUCCAUUCCUUUCUCCCAUUAUUACUGUAAAAUGUGCUGCUCACCAAUGCUUGCCAAUAUCUUUUUAUUCUUUUUUGUACUCCUACCGUUCUGCACGCAUUGUGCUAUACUGGUAAGAAAGCUGGACUACGGCUGAGAGACCUUGGUUCAGAUCCCCAUUCAGCCAUGAAACUUGCCAGAUGAUUUUAUGGAGAAAGGAUGGCAUUAAAAAUGUGUAAAUAAAACAAUCCUCUCUACUGCUCAUUCCUCCUGG